rnacentral:rRNA from 1 species
AGCGAACGCUGGCGGCAGGCCUAACACAUGCAAGUCGAACGAAGUCUUCGGACUUAGUGGCGGACGGGUGAGUAACACGUGGGAACGUGCCUUUAGGUUCGGAAUAACUCAGGGAAACUUGUGCUAAUACCGAAUGUGCCCUUCGGGGGAAAGAUUUAUCGCCUUUAGAGCGGCCCGCGUCUGAUUAGCUAGUUGGUGAGGUAAAGGCUCACCAAGGCGACGAUCAGUAGCUGGUCUUAGAGGAUGAUCAGCCACAUUGGGACUGAGACACGGCCCAAACUCCUACGGGAGGCAGCAGUGGGGAAUCGUGCGCAAUGGGCGAAAGCCUUACGCAGCCAUGCCGCGUGAAUGAUGAAGGUCUUAGGAUUGUAAAAUUCUUUCACCGGGGACGAUAAUGACGGUACCCGGAGAAGAAGCCCCGGCUAACUUCGUGCCAGCCGCCGCCGUAAGAC